rnacentral:rRNA from 1 species
UACGUAGGGGGGCUAGCGUUGUCCGGAAUCAUUGGGCGUAAAGAGCGUGUAGGCGGCCCGGUAAGUCCGCUGUGAAAGUCGGGGGCUCAACCCUCGAAUGCCGGUAGAUACUGUCGGGCUAGAGUGCGGAAGAGGCGAGUGGAAUUCCUGGUGUAGCGGUGAAAUGCGCAGAUAUCAGGAGGAACACCAAUUGCGAAGGCAGCUCGCUGGGACGUAACUGACGCUGAGACGCGAAAGCGUGGGGGAGCAAAACAGG